rnacentral:lncRNA from 1 species
CCCCUGCGAUGACAAGGAUUAAAAGUCAGCUUGGCAUUUAGAGCUACAAUAGAUAUAAGACGGAGAGAAAUAGAUACCAUAAUCACUAUCUAACAGUUAAAACUAAUUUGAGCUUGCUUUGAUGCAAAAGAACAAGAAGCGGGUCAAGCUACAGAUAUUUUAUGUGGGAACCAUAGCUCCAAACAUGACAAGACAAACAAAAUACCACCCGCAGAGGAACUCGUAUUGUAUUUUCUACUAAUCAAACAAGCAAAUGGCUUCCAAGGUUCAUAGCCGGAAAAAAGGCUUAUGAAAGCAGAUUGGAACCCCAACAUAUAGUAGACCUUUGGUAGUUUGGCUGCUUCAGAAGGGAUGUGUGUGGUACAAACAUGGAACGAAUCAUGAUUAUAUCUCCAAAGCAAGCAAACAAAAUCUGGUAUAAAAUUGGCCUUCGCUUGUUUUGGCAUAAGCAAUAUAUUAAUGAAUAGACGUCAGAGCAAGGUGCUAAACACUGUAACAAUCUAUCGAUUCAGUUACGCCCGUAGCAAGGUGCUAAACACUGUAACAAUCUAUCGAUUCAGUUACGCCCGUAAUCUCAGGGGCUCAGAACCACCACUGGAAUAGGUAUGAACCCUAGAAAGCUUCCUAAUCUCAGGACCCCAAAUAUUCGCACUUUAAACACUAACCAAUCAAUCAUUUAGGCAAAUAGGCAGUCUACCUUGAUUCGCACAAUACGAUCAUAUAGCAUCGCUAAACAUGGUGGAAACCAGUAUGCAUAUAACAAAUAAAUUCUGUUGUUACUUAUAUCACGCCAUCGCAACAGCUCACCUCG